UACGGAGGGUGCAAGCGUUAAUCGGAAUUACUGGGCGUAAAGCGCGCGUAGGCGGUUUUUUAAGUCGGAUGUGAAAGCCCCGGGCUCAACCUGGGAACUGCAUCCGAUACUGGAAGACUAGAAUGCGGGAGAGGGAGGUAGAAUUCCAUGUGUAGCAGUGAAAUGCGUAGAUAUAUGGGGGAAUACCAGUGGCGAAGGCGGCCUCCUGGCUCGACAUUGACGCUGAGGUGCGAAAGCGUGGGGAGCAAACAGG
rnacentral:rRNA from 1 species